AUAACUGUGAGCCACCAUGUAAGUUCUGGAAACCAAACAUAUAAUUAAAGAUCUUUUUUUUUAUUGUGAAAGAAAGUACCUAUUCAUCCCAGAGAAGAUACCAAGACACACUGAAGAAGCCACUCUGUUCAAGUAUAGCUUGGAGAAAACAGUAUGAUUAUGGAUUCUCUGAGGACCAUGGUUGGCUACAGUAUAUAUUACUGAAGAAAAGCAGCUCCCUUUACCAAUAUUUAAUUGCAUAUAUGCUCUUGGGAAAAUAAUGGCCUCUUGAGACCCUGUCCCUACCAACCAUUGACUUACUGUCAGUCUUUGGGGAGAUGGUGACCUUGUGAGCACAUUUCCCUAGAAACUAUUAACUGUCUAUAAAAAUCUUAGGAACAAAACCUCAUAAGCCCUCUCCUCUGUGACAGAAAGGCAAUGGACACAGUCUGUGUAUGUCUCAGUGAAUCACAACUGUUGGAUUUCAAGAAGACAACAGCUAUGUUAUGGCCUGAAGACAACAAUGUUUAUAGUCAUGAUCAGCAGGGAUGUCAAGGCUGGGAGCCAUUGGGAUAGAGGGAAACCUCUUCAGUUUUUCCUUUUCACUGUCUCCUGUAGGUAGCCCUAAGGAAAGCUUAAGUAUACAUUUAUGUGCUCAUCUCAAAUUUAUUAAUUUCCCCUCAUUUGGAAAAGAAAGCAUCUCAGAUGUAAUUAAGUUAAUAAACUUAAAAUAAAAC
rnacentral:lncRNA from 1 species